GAUGAACGCUGGCGGAGUGCCUAACACAUGCAAGUCGAGCGGCAGCGCGAGUAGUUUACUACUUGGCGGCGAGCGGCGGACGGCUGAGUAACGCGUUGGAACAUGCCCCAAAGUGAGGAAUAACUGCCCGAAAGGGUAGCUAAUGCCGCAUACGAUCUUCGGAUUAAAGGAUUUAUCCGCUUUGGGAGUGGCCUGCGUACGAUUAGAUAGUUGGUGAGGUAAUGGCUCACCAAGUCUACGAUCGUUAACUGGUUUGAGAGGAUGAUCAGUCAGACUGGAACUGAGACACGGUCCAGACUCCUACGGGAGGCAGCAGUGAGGAAUCUUCCACAAUGGACGAAAGUCUGAUGGAGCAACUCCGCGUGCAGGAUGAAGGCCUUCGGGUCGUAAACUGCUUUAUGAGUGAAGAAUAUGACGGUAACUCAUGAAUAAGGGUCGGCUAACUACGUGCCAGCAGCCGCGGUAAU
rnacentral:rRNA from 1 species